UACGUAGGGGGCCUAGCGUUGUCCGGAUUUAUUGGGCGUAAAGAGCUCGUAGGCGGCUCGUCGCGUCAGCUGUGAAAACCCGCGGCUUAACCGUGGGCUUGCAGCUGAUACGGGCGGGCUAGAGUUCGGUAGGGGGAGACUGGAAUUCCUGGUGUAGCGGUGAAAUGCGCAGAUAUCAGGAGGAACACCGGUGGCGAAGGCGGGUCUCUGGGCCGAUACUGACGCUGAGGAGCGAAAGCGUGGGGAGCGAACAGG
rnacentral:rRNA from 1 species